UAUCAUGUUGAAUCUUGCGGGUU
rnacentral:siRNA from 1 species